rnacentral:rRNA from 1 species
UACAGAGGUCUCAAGCGUUGUUCGGAUUCAUUGGGCGUAAAGGGUGCGUAGGCGGCGCGGUAAGUCGGGUGUGAAAUCUCGGAGCUUAACUCCGAAACUGCAUUCGAUACUGCCGUGCUUGAGGACUGGAGAGGAGACUGGAAUUUACGGUGUAGCGGUGAAAUGCGUAGAUAUCAGGAGGAACACCAAUGGCGAAGGCAGCGCGCUGGGACGGUACUGACGCUGAGACGCGAAAGCGUGGGGAGCAAACAGG